AGGGCCAUUGGCAAGUCUCUGGAUGGGCACCAGGAACGGUGGGAGGAUAACCUCAAGAUCACAGGAGACCUUCCUCAUGUGGAGGUUGAUGAGGCUGAUGAGGAGACGGUUGCGGACUACCCUCAGGCCAGGGCUGACAAGGUGUAUUCCAACGUGGAGAAGGCCCAGGAGAGACAACAGGAAGCCUACAAGAAGAGAAUGAAGAAAGGGACCAAGCGCUUCAAGGUCCUCCCAGGCAUGGUGGUCCUGAAGAAGGACGAGAGGAAGCGUGGGAGACCUGGUCGGACAAUGGAUCCAGACUGGCCAACGCAGUACCGGUAAAUCAAUUUUAAGAAUAGUUGAGGGUUG
ensembl:lncRNA